GUUUGAGAUCGGAAACUAGGGAAAACGUAAUCUCUUGGCUGUAAGAUAGAAUCGAAUUCAAGGUUAUCACAACUAUUUGGAGCAACACUUCACAAACCAAGGCCUGCUGUUCUUCCUCAUUUUUCAAGUGUUGCGUGGACAAAUAAGAAGCAGGACGUCGUCAUCCAUCAGACUGUUUCCGUGCUCUGCCUCCACUGGCUGCACUGUGAAGAAUUUGCUUUUGCCCUUUGCUUUCUACUGACAACCAGAGGGGAAAAGGAGUGUUUUCUUCGAAACACAAACCGGACGCAUCCAACAGAAGUAAGAUGUUCCUUUGCUUCAGCUUGCCACUGAAGGUCUAAGAUAAAUGGCUUCAAAAAAGAAGGCAAGUAAGAAAAAAGAAAAGGCCCAGCUAACAUUGUCUCCUAAGAAUGCUAACUGGAGAGCUGGAGAGAUGGCUCAGCGGUGAAGGCACUUGUCUUCAAACCGUAGUGACCUGAGUGUGCUUCCUCAGUACCCAGAAGGCAGUGAGAACCGAGGACAACCAAAGUCUGUCAACAAGACAGCUGACUCCAUGGCAGGAGAUAAACCACGCCUCAGACAUCAGCCAGGGCCCAGGUGAACCCACGGAGGAGCUGGCCAGAUGAUCAACAGCGCUGCUCCCACGGUGAGCCUGACAGCCUGCUCCAGGGUGAUGCAGACAGACACUGAGGAGACUCAAAACGCACCAAAGCAGAAAUCCAGAAGCAGCUGAGAGCUCAAUACUGAAGUAGACUUAAAACACACCCACCAAGGCUCAGGAAAUUUUAUGGGAGAGAUGCAAAAAGACUGUAAGGGCCAGAUGGUGGGAUGGAAUAUCCAGAGGCAUGGCCUCCAGCCACAGUGACUGUCUGCUGCUCUCACAACUCAUAAACCACAACCCCAGG